UAAAUUCCAUAUAUAUAUUUUAAGAUUUUGUCCAUUUGUGAGAGAGAAUGAGUGAGAGAGAGAGCAUGAGUAGGGAGAGGGAGAAGCAGACUCCCCGCUGAGCAGGGAGCCCAACUCAGGACUUCAUCCCAGGAUGCUGGAAUCAUGACCUGAGCUGAAGGCUGACGCUCAACCGACUGAGCCAUACAGGCGUCCUGUACUCAGUUCAUAUUCAUCACACACCAACUCAGUGGCUGAGAAUCUGCUUGUGGGAGAACUGUCUCCAGCUGGCUUGACUCCCCUUUUAAUGGAUAUUUUUGCUUAUAUAACUAAUUCGUGGCCUGAGUUAUGUGGGAUACACAGUCUGCAGCAAUGUGAUGACAUUUUGCAGAAUCUGGAAGCAAGACAGCAAUCUUCCUGUAGUACUGGGCUGAGUGGUGCUGGAGCUGGGAUGGGCUGCUGCCCCCCACCCCCUCGGAUGGGAACAUGUUCUUUACAUCCACUUUGCACAUGAGCUUAACUGCGUUUCAUCCGCCUCUGAGACAAUCUGGUCCUGUGCUCUUCGCGCCCGAGUCAGAAAGUUAUUUACUACCAAUCUGGAAAAUACUGAUUCUUCUCACCCAAGGACAGCCCUGUUCUCAGAAAUGAAGCCCAUCACUUCAUACUGAGCUCCAGCUUUCUGGGACAAGCAGAAAUCUUUGAAGCAUUUCCAACCAAAUCCUCGGAGAGAAAGUAACAGACCACAGUUGCCUGUGUUUUCUUUCCUCUUCAAAACCACUUCUGCUCCAAAGACCAUGAACCUGAACUGAAGAAACGACUCUUUCCUGCUGGCGUGAGAUAAUUCAGUCUCCAUGAUGUCUUAAUCCUGGGCCUCCCUUAAUUGACUUCUAACUGUGCUGAACUGUGGCUGCUAGGAGUUGCAAUGUGGAUCGCAAUUUACAAGGCACUGGAAUCGUUUCUCGUCCUCAAAUUAGUCCUGAGUUGUACUGGAGAAAGAUUAAAAAAAAAAAAAAAAUGAAGGUUUACCUUGCUGGCUGUCUUGCCAUCUCAAGUGAGACUGCUUUAGCAUCUCAGAAUGGAUGGUUGCCUUUUAACAACUUAGUUAGGGACAAAAAGGAAAGAGCAUUAGGGCUGCCAAUACCUUGUCAAUUUUGUCUUAAUAGAGUUGCCUCACGUGGCUUAUCUUGUCCAGGGGGACUGAAGAGCUCCUAAUAUUCUAAGAUAUUCAUGAGGGAGUGAUGAUUAUUUUUAAGCUCUGUUCUGUCGGGAUCCAAUAUAAGGAUCACCUUUUCCUUUCCCAUGAAUGUCAUUGGGAUACAUUUAUUAAUUAAGAAGUGUCCUAGAUCUUCACACAGGGGUUGGGGAGGUAGGGGGAAGAAACUUAUUUUUCCUAUAGCCCCUUAUGGCCAUUUAACAUUUAUUUCUACCUAUCCUACCUAGGUUCUUCCUUUCCUCCUUGGGACCCCCAGCUUGGAAAGUCAUGAUAUAAGUACAUAUAUACACCAGUGCGUAUAGAUGCUCUGCUAACUCUUGGGAUAAAUAAGAUAUGCUAGAGUCUUCAAAGAAUUCACAGCCCAAGGGGGAGAUAGGUUCAUAAAUGAUAGUGAUAUAAUUUUAACGGAUACACAGAGAGUGAAGAGUGUUUAUGGGAGCAGAGAGGAAGGACACCUCUCAUUGGGGCUGAAGGAGUAAAGGGUGGUUUUCUGGAAGAGAGGACAAAGGAAUCAGCUCUUACGGAUGAGUUGGAAUCAGUUCCAUGUGACACUGGAAUGAAGUCGGGGCAUUUGGGGGUAGUUGAUCACGCCAGGAGGUAGGUAUGAGUGGUCCUCUACGCAAUGGAAGUGGGCUUGAACUUCAAGUAGAGGAUAGGGAGGCUCUUAAGCAGGGAGUGAAACUGGUCAGAUUUGUGCCUUCUGUAUGUCAUUUAGGCAGCUAGGCACAGGAUGAAUUUGAGCAUAGCAAAACUAAAGCUGGAGGUCAGACAGGAGGCUGUUCCAGUGGUCUGGAAGAAAGUCCUGAAUUAGGGUGGUGAUAGCAAGAUGGUGAGGGGUUAGAGUUGAGAGAUAGCUCAUAGAUUAAAUUGGAAGGAGUUGGGCUAAGUUCAUAGAAGGUGACUCAGAGGUUCAUUAAUUCUUCAGAAUGGUUACAGAAACUACUGAGGGUUAUGGGUGGGCAUUCGAGUAUGAAAUCAAUUGUCAUAAGAAUUCUAUGAAGUCUGGUCCUUCUCAUUCUCAGGAUCCUUUAGACAUUGUGGGAUAACUGUGAUGGAGAACUGAGGAUGACUGGGGCUGGGAAGAUUGGGACCUGACUAGUUUUCAGUUAAGCCUAGGAUUUGCAUUUCUCAAUGUUUCCCGACUGAGAGCACUAUCUUUUGUCAUGGGAAUGCCCUUUAGCUCCUAGAAUGAUUCCUCAGAGCUUUUAGGAGAAAACCAGCAUCCUGGGCUUAGUACUCAAGAUCCUGUAAUGGUCUGUCCCCAUCUUCUUUCUCCUCUCAUACCACUUUCCAGAGGGGCAUUCUUUCUCUGUGCCUUGCCAUUCUGGCCAUUUAAUAAUCAUGGACCUUUGCAAAUGUUGUUCCUACUUCUGAGGUUUUGUCCCACAGUUUUGCAUCCCAGUAUCUUUUACUCACCUUCAAAAAGUAUCCUGGAGAUCUUACUAGACAGUAAGGUAGACUUGAAGGGAAAGAACAGCAUUUAUGUGUACAUAAAUGUAUAUUUAUUUUUAGUGGUUAGCUCAGUGCUUAGCAAAGAGUUUUGAAUGAAUAUGUGUAGGUAUUUCUCUUGUCCUAUUAUCAGGCUCAGAUUGUCAGCAAUUUUUAAGUUAUAAGAAUCGCUUAAAAUACCCAGCAAUAAAACAUUUUGGAAAAAAAUUGAGUAUGUGACAAUGAUUUUUAAAAUGUAAAAUGAUCUACCAGAGUAUAUUAUUAUUGUAACGAAUGCCAUGUUUAUCUAUUCACGCAUUCAGCUGAUACUUAUCUGGGAAACUCUGUGAACAAAGCACAAAUAGAACAGGUAUGUCAUGCCAAGGACACUCGCCUGAUUGAUGUCCAGAUCUUUGGAGGACUAGAAGUUCAGGAAUCAUAUUGAGUGUUUUACUGACCUUUGCAUAUUAUGGAGCACUAAGUGUGGCUGGG